AUACUUACCUGGCAGGGGAGGUGCCGUGACCGCCCAGGGGGCUUUCCCGGGGCCGGCGGGAGCCACUGCCCUGGGCAUCCCCCGACCCCGGCGAUUUCCCCACGUGGGGAGACGCGCCGCGUGUGCCGGGGGCGGCUGAGAGCACGCUUUCGCGGCCU
rnacentral:snRNA from 1 species